rnacentral:sRNA from 12 species
UCUCGCCCGCUCCAUGGAGGUCACGAUUUCCAUGGCUGAGCGAUCUUUCAAUCUGGUCGUGCCGCUGGCCCACGAAGCCACCGACAUGCGCACCACGGAUACCGCCGGCUCAACGCCGGGACGGUCUGGCGCAGUUUCCCGGCCGAGCAUUUGGCCGGGCGACGUAGAUUGCACGACGGGUAC